rnacentral:rRNA from 1 species
AUUGAACGCUGGCGGCAUGCUUUACACAUGCAAGUCGAACGGCAGCACGGGUGCUUGCACCUGGUGGCGAGUGGCGAACGGGUGAGUAAUGCAUCGGAACGUGCCCAUGAGUGGGGGAUAGCCCGGCGAAAGCCGGAUUAAUACCGCAUACGCCCUUAGGGGGAAAGCGGGGGGAUCUUCGGACCUCGCGCUAUUGGAGCGGCCGAUGUCGGAUUAGCUAGUAGGUGAGGUAAAGGCUCACCUAGGCGACGAUCCGUAGCUGGUCUGAGAGGAUGAUCAGCCACACUGGGACUGAGACACGGCCCAGACUCCUACGGGAGGCAGCAGUGGGGAAUUUUGGACAAUGGGCGCAAGCCUGAUCCAGCCAUGCCGCGUGAGUGAAGAAGGCC